rnacentral:rRNA from 1 species
CUACGGGUCGCUCCAGUCGAGAAUCUUCUGCAAUGCGCGAAAGCGUGACAGAGCGAACCAGAGUGCUUUUCUAUUUGAAAAGCUUUUGUUAAAUCUAAAAAUUUUAGCGAAUAAGGACUGGGUAAGACAGGUGCCAGCCGCCGCGGUAAUACCUGCGGUCCAAGUCGCAGCCAUUUUUAUUGGGUCUAAAACAUCCGUAGCUUGUUUGAAAAGUUUCUUGUGAAAUCCUAUAUCUUAAAUAUGGGGCGUGCAAGAAAUACUAUUAGACUAGAGACUGGAAGACGUAAAGAGUAUGUUCAAAGUAAUGGUAAAAUAUGUUAAUCUUGAACAGACUAACAACAGCGAAGGCACUUUACGAGUACAGUUCUGACAGUGAGGGAUGAAGGCUAGGGGCGCAAAACGGAUUAGAUACCCUAGUAGUC